AGUUAACUGGCUUCUGAAGCCCAUAAUUUACCCGUGCCAAUGAACAUGACAGGAUGUCUGUGUCUGUCCAGUGCCAGCACGCUUUCCACCACAAUCCGGGUC